AGCUAUGGCGGGCCGUGGCGGGAGCAUCAUGCCGAUGCGCCGGUGGUGAAGCCGGUACGCCAAUCCGGCCAUGCGCCUGCCGCCCUG
rnacentral:antisense_RNA from 1 species